GGCGGCGGGCAGCCAUGAGCCGGGUAGUGGCCGUGGCCACCUGCGCUCUUAACCAGUGGGCUCUGGAUUUUGAGGGCAACCUGGAGAGGAUUUUCAAAAGUAUCGACAUCGCCAAGAGCAAGGGAGCCCGGUACCGGCUUGGGCCAGAACUUGAAAUCUGUGGUUACGGCUGCUCAGAUCACUAUUAUGAGUCAGACACACUCUUGCAUUCGUUUCAAGUUCUGGAAAAGCUCUUGCAGUCUCCAGCUACUCAAGAUAUUAUAUGUGAUGUGGGGAUGCCUGUUCUGCACAGAAAUGUUCGCUACAAUUGUCGAGUAAUCUUUUUAAAUAAGAAGAUUCUUCUAAUCAGACCAAAAAUAUCACUGGCAAACGCAGGAAACUACAGGGAACUUAGAUGGUUCACCCCAUGGAGCAAAGCAAGGCAUGUGGAAGAAUAUUUUCUACCCAGGAUAAUUCAGGAAGUGACUGGACAGGAAACUGUUCCUUUUGGGGAUGCAGUGCUAGCAACCAAAGAUACAUGCCUAGGGGCAGAAAUAUGUGAAGAACUCUGGGCACCAAACAGCCCUCACAUUGAGAUGGGGCUUGAUGGCGUGGAAAUUUUCACCAACUCCUCAGGGAGUCACCACGUGCUGCGGAAGGCUCACGCCCGGGUGGAUCUGGUGAAUUCUGCCACAGCAAAGAAUGGUGGAAUAUAUAUUUUAGCGAACCAGAAAGGCUGUGAUGGUGAUCGUCUGUAUUAUGAUGGCUGUGCCAUGAUUUCCAUGAAUGGAGAAACAAUUGCACAAGGAUCCCAGUUUUCACUCGAUGAUGUGGAGGUGCUGGUUGCCACUCUGGACUUGGAGGAUGUUCGAAGUUACAGAGCAGAGAUUUCAUCUCGUAACUUGGCAGCAAGUAAAGUGAGUCCUUAUCCCAGGGUAAAAGUGGACUUUGCUCUGUCAUGUCCUGAUGAUGUAGCUGUUCCUACUUGUAUGCCAAUCCAGUGGAGACACCACAGUCCUGAGGAGGAGAUAAGCCUUGGACCUGCAUGUUGGCUUUGGGACUAUUUAAGGCGCAGCAAACAGGCAGGAUUUCUCCUACCUCUGAGUGGUGGAAUUGACAGCUCUGCUACAGCUUGCAUAGUGUAUUCCAUGUGUCACCAGGUUUGCCUGGCAGUCAAGAAUGGCAAUGCAGAUGUGUUGGCUGAUGCACGCAUGAUUGUGAAUGAUGAGACAUACAUCCCUAAGGAUCCUCGGGAAUUCUGCAAGCGUAUCUUCACCACGUGCUACAUGGCUAGUGAGAACUCCUCCCAGGAUACCUGCAACAGGGCUAAACUGCUGGCUGAGCAAAUAGGCAGCUACCACAUCAACCUGAACAUGGAUGCGGCUGUGAAAGCUGUUGUGGGGAUCUUCAGUGUGGUGACAGGUCGAACUCCCCAGUUUUCUGUCUGUGGGGGGAGCAGCAGAGAGAGCCUGGCACUCCAGAAUGUGCAGGCUAGAAUAAGAAUGGUCCUUGCCUACCUGUUUGCUCAGCUGACACUGUGGGCUCGUGGGAUGCCAGGGGGACUGCUGGUGCUGGGAUCAGCCAAUGUGGAUGAAAGUCUCCGUGGUUACAUGACCAAGUACGACUGCUCCAGUGCUGAUAUCAACCCCAUUGGUGGCAUGAGCAAGACUGAUUUGAAGAACUUCAUUCAGUACUGCCUUGAAAACUUUCAGCUCACAGCCCUCAGGAGUAUCAUGUCAGCUCCACCCACUGCAGAGUUGGAGCCCCUGGUGGAUGGACAAGUGGCUCAAACUGAUGAGGCAGAUAUGGGGAUGACAUAUGCAGAGCUCUCAAUCUAUGGAAAAUUAAGGAAAAUUGCGAAGGCUGGACCGUACAGUAUGUUCUGUAAGCUGAUUAAUAUGUGGAAGGAAAUUUGUACUCCAAGAGAGGUGGCAUCCAAGGUUAAGCAUUUCUUCAGGAUGUAUUCAGUCAACAGGCACAAAAUGACCACCCUCACUCCUUCCUACCAUGCUGAAAACUACAGUCCAGAUGACAACCGGUUUGACCUGAGGCCUUUCCUCUACAACACCUCAUGGUCCUGGCAGUUCAGGUGUAUAGACAAACAGUUCAGGACCUGUCUGAAGGGAUCUGCUUAAUUGCAGAAUUAAGACAUGACCUACAUCAGCAUGAGGAAAGCCAGUGUAAGAGGCAGUAAUUCUCUGUAUCCAAGCUAGAAAAAAACAAAGGAAUUUCUGUAGCUGAAGAUGUGGACUGAUUUAUUGUCUUGUUUUUCUGUGGUAAUUAAUUUGCCAAACAGAAUGUUCAAAACUGGAUUAUACUGUGAUAAUGAGCAGGGAUGACCUGCUUAACAGUUCUUGAGCUGACCAUUGUAAUAAAUUUGUUUUACUGAC